rnacentral:rRNA from 1 species
CACGUAGGGCGCAAGCGUUGUCCGGAAUUAUUGGGCGUAAAGAGCUUGUAGGCGGUUGUCGCGUCUGCUGUGAAAUUUCGGGGCUCAACCCCGAACUUGCAGUGGGUACGGGCAGACUAGAGUGUGGUAGGGGAGACUGGAAUUCCUGGUGUAGCGGUGAAAUGCGCAGAUAUCAGGAGGAACACCGGUGGCGAAGGCGGGUCUCUGGGCCGAUACUGACGCUGAGGAGCGAAAGCGUGGGAGCGAACAGG